rnacentral:rRNA from 1 species
GUUGAUAGGUCGGGUGUGUAAGCGCAGCGAUGCGUUGAGCUAACCGAUACUAAUGAACCGUGAGGCUUAACCUUACAACGCCGAAG